rnacentral:sRNA from 1 species
GCCUGGCAGAGCCUGAAGCGGAGGGGAGCUGGUGUGUGGCCUGCAUUUCUGUCUGUUCCCCUUUGCUGUGAGAAACACAAGGGCCUCAAGCCACUUGGAAAGGAACUCAUUUAUUUCACCGUAAGUUCUCAUCCAUCAUGAAGGGGAGUCAGGUCAGGAACUGAAGGAUCUGGAGGCAGGGACCAAGAAGAAGACUCACUACAGUGGCUUGCUUCUUAUGGCUUGCCCAGUCCCAAGGGGCGGUACCACCCGAAGCAGGCCUGGCCCUCCCACAUCAAGUCUUUAUCAAGAAAAGGACCUACAGACUUGUUUACAAGCCAUCUGAUAGAGGAGCUUCCUCCCUUCCUCCCUGAUAACCCUUUCUUGAAUCAAAUCCACAAAAUAACUAAGACACUGUGGUUGCCUCUCUCAGAUUGCACAUGUCAUUGUCUCUUUGUCCGCUCCUCUGGAGCAGGGUCCACCCGCCCCUGGGACCACACCCUUAGUCUUGUGAUGAGGGGGUUUGUGAUGAGUUUCAGACUUCUGGAGUACUCAGAGAAGUCCUGCUGCUCCGUAGGGGUCCCGUCUUCCUCAGAGGCCACACCUGUGGCCAUGUGUGGAAUGCAGUAGGAGGUGAGCUUCACCAAACCAGAUCCAUUUGUGGAUGAAUCCAACUGGGCUACUUAAGGAGAGAAAUGACCCCUGGGAUAGUCUACUGCAACACUCAGUCUGAACAUCCAUAAAUGGUUUCCACGCCUACGUUUGACUUCAGCCCCACCUAGACCAGGGCCUCAUUCCCACAGGUUGGAGAGCCAUUGGCUAUGGCAGCCCCACCACUUCUUUUAUCCUUCCGAGGAGACAAGCAGCUUCCUGUCCUUGCAAACUUCUGAGCUGAUCUUUUCUCUGUUCUGCUAUUCCCCAUGGAGAUUAAAUUCCUUAUAUCUUUAAACAUGGUUUUGUGCUACAUGUUUAUUAUCUGACGUAGAAAUCAUGAACAUGCAAUGAGGGAUGGUAUUGUUAAGAUUGUAGGGGCCUUAGGUGGUUCAGCGGGGAGAGGCACUUGCCACCAAGUCUGACAACCUGAGUUCAAUCCCUGGGACCUACAAGGAGUAAGGAGAGAAGCAACUCCUACAAGUUUUCCUCUGACCUCCAUCCACAUGCAUGGCCAGUGGGCAUAGGUACACAUGUGCACACGCAACAUAAAUGAACUAAACAAAGUUUAAAGGAAACUGUAGUUGAGAGCUGAAGCUUGCCAUUGAAGUUGGCAAGGUGGCAGUGAUGGCGGGAAAGGAUAGGUGGGCACCGGAACCAGGUGACCGUGGAUCGCAGUAAACACACAUUCUAGGCUCUUAUUUUUGUUCUCCCAAAGUGUGGUGGUUGAAGGAAGGAACGAAGCAGCAGGACAAAGAUAGAGUUUCGAAGAAGGGGAAAC